UCCUGUUUUAAAUGGCAUUGACUUCAGCUGUGAUGAAACAAUACCGUGAAAUUAUGUUGAAAGAAUUGGAAUUGGAAAAAUAUAAAGAAGAAAAAUUUAUGAAGAUCAUCGAAGAAAAAAGAAAAUGCGUUAAAACGUGAUGUGCAAAAUUGUUAUGAAGAGCAUGUGUUGGAAGAAGAUAGUAAAGAA